UACGAAGGGGGGCUAGCGUUGUUCGGAAUUACUGGGCGUAAAGCGUGCGCAGGCGGUUUUGUAAGUUUGUCGUGAAAGCCCCGGGCUCAACCUGGGAAUUGCGAUGAAGACUGCAAGGCUUGAAUCUGGCAGAGGGGGGUAGAAUUCCACGUGUAGCAGUGAAAUGCGUAGAGAUGUGGAGGAACACCGAUGGCGAAGGCAGCCCCCUGGGUCAAGAUUGACGCUCAUGCACGAAAGCGUGGGGGAGCAAACAGG
rnacentral:rRNA from 1 species